rnacentral:lncRNA from 1 species
GCUGCCUGGGUCGGCUGGGCCUGUGGGCCUGCGUCCGACAGCGCGCGGCCGUGCUUUCUAAGCGGGCUCGGCAGCACCAGACUUCACCGGCCCGGCGCGGGGCUCACAAGUGCUCGCACUCCCUGCGGCCGGCGCGCUGACCGGAGCCUCUGGGUCUCGCACGCAGCAGCUGCAGACGCUGCCCGGCGCGGUGGGGCUGUGAGCAAAACGGCCCGCCGGUGUGGUUGCCCAGACUGUGCUGGGCCCUCCUAGGUGGAUGGCCCUGCCCCAGCCUAACUUCUGUACCCCAGCAUAACCUCCAAAGUAACAGCCGUGCCCUGGGAGCCUGUUCAACACUGAACAUAUCCCACAAUAACACUGUUCCAGCGUCGCUGGUAAAAAGCAGAAAUGGCUUCGCUGGAGGCAUCGACAAAUCUAAUGCAGUAACCUCAUUUUACAGAAGAGAACUCUAAGAGGAUAACUAACUUGGCCAAGAUCACAUGAUGUUUCUGGAUGAGAUUAGCAUUCAAAUUCGUGGACUCAUUAAAGUAGAUGGCUCUCUCCAAUAUGGGUGGGCAUCAUCCAAUCUGUUGAAGGCGUGAAGAGAACAAGAGAAGGAGGAAGGAAGAAUUCACCUUUUUUCUUGCUGCCCACCUGCUUGGGCUGGGACAUUGCAUCUCACCUUCUCCAGCCUUUGGAUGAGGAUUUACACCCUGGUUCUCAGGCCUUCAGGCUCUAACUGGAGCUACACUAUCAACUUUCCUGGGCCUCCAGAUUGCAGAUGGUGGAUCACGGUACUUUUUAGCCUCCAUCAUAAUAUGAGAAAAAAGAGGCACAGUGAAGCUAAAUAUAUUGGCUAAAGAUCACAAAGCUAUUACUAUUGGUGAGGAAUUUUGGAGUAAUUUGAUUGGGUGUUCUGGCUCAAGGGUCUCUUAUGAGUUUGCAGUCAGAUGUCAGCUGUGGCUACAUCAUCUGGACACAUGACUGAGGGUGGAACAUUCAAUUUCAAGGUAUCUCACUCAUAUGGCUGAGAAGAUUAUCAAGGUUAUCUGUGCUCAAUGUGUGCAUCUCAGAUCAGCAGCAUCAGCAUCACCUGGGAGCUUGUUAGAGCUGGAGACUCUCAGGCUCCACGGCAGACUUCCUGAAUCAGAAGCUACAAUUUAACAGGAUCCUCGGGUGAUCUGAAAAUGCAAUAAAGUUUGGGAAGCACUGCUGUUGGUCAUUAGACAAUCUAAUGAACUAAGACUUUUGCCGAGCAUCUGGUAGGUGGAGGGGGUCCAUCAUACAAUUCUGAAUGGCAGUCAUUUAGAUAAGUACAAGUUGGCUAAGGUGGGAAUAAAAUGUUUGCUCAAAUGAUCUGUUAAUUUUUGUAAAAAGAAGAAAGGGCAAUAAUACCUGAAGUUAUUGAAUUGUAAUACCCGAGGGUAUUAAAAUGAAGAAAGGCAGUGUCUGAUGGCUGUGUGUCAGGGGAGUCAUGCCCUAUUGCAUAAUUAGGAGUGUAUUGUUUCUGUUCUCUGCUUUUACAGUCAGAUAAACAUUGAACAGACAUCACAUCUGUUUAGUGAUUCAGGAGUUGGACUUUCGAGGGGGAAAGUUAUCUAAUUAUAAUGUCACUAAACGUGUGCUAAUUUCACAACACUCAUUUUUCGGUCUUCUAUGGAGAGUGAGAUUAGGAAACAUCCAGAAAGGGCAAGUCAGGUCUGUAGAAUGAAGUCAGCAAUCAUUGGUUAAUUUAAACAAAACAGCCACCCAGCCCAACCCAUACACAAUCAUCCUGUUGCCUUCUGCAGACACUUUCUCUGUUGGAGCUGAUAUCCGAGGACAUUUAUCCUCUCUUUCCCAGGCUUAAAGCACAGGUGGAUUUAAAGCUCUCUUUCGUAUGGUUUGUCACGAAGUAACAGUAACUGAUAGAUGGUGUCUCCACUCUGGAUAUAGAGCGAGCUAAUGAGCUUUGACAAUGACCACUGGUUAAAGACCCAGGACUGAUGAGUGCGCUAGUGACUCUAGUGACCCCAGCCUACUGAUUUUUAUUGACAGCCUGUUGACAUAACUAAGAGUUUGUGAUUUAAGCUUUUUUAAGCCCUUAAAUAAAAUAAAAAUAAGGUCUUUCUAAUAGUA